rnacentral:tRNA from 2 species
GCGCCCGUAGCUCAACUGGAUAGAGCGACUGGCUUCGAACCAGUAGGUCGCAGGUUCAACUCCUGCCGGGCGCGCCA